rnacentral:rRNA from 1 species
AUUGAACGCUGGCGGCAUGCCUUACACAUGCAAGUCGAACGGCAGCACGGGGGCAACCCUGGUGGCGAGUGGCGAACGGGUGAGUAAUGCAUCGGAACGUGCCCAGUAGUGGGGGAUAACUAGUCGAAAGAUUAGCUAAUACCGCAUACGACCUAUGGGUGAAAGCGGGGGAUUCGCAAGAACCUCGCGCUAUCGGAGCGGCCGAUGUCUGAUUAGCUAGUUGGCGGGGUAAAAGGCCCACCAAGGCUUCGAUCAGUAGCUGGUCUGAGAGGACGACCAGCCACACUGGGACUGAGACACGGCCCAGACUCCUACGGGAGGCAGCAGUGGGGAAUUUUGGACAAUGGGCGCAAGCCUGAUCCAGCCAUGCCGCGU